rnacentral:rRNA from 1 species
UACGGGGGGAGCAAGCGUUGUUCGGAUUUACUGGGCGUAAAGGGCGCGUAGGCGGCUUGAUAAGCGUGCGGUGAAAGCCCGGGGCUCAACCCCGGGUCGGCCGUGCGAACUGUCGAGCUGGAGCACUGUAGAGGCAGGUGGAAUUCCGGGUGUAGCGGUGGAAUGCGUAGAGAUCCGGAAGAACACCGGUGGCGAAGGCGGCCUGCUGGGCAGUGGCUGACGCUGAGGCGCGACAGCGUGGGGAGCAAACAGG